UACAGAGGGUGCGAGCGUUUAAUCGGAAUUACUGGGCGUAAAGCGCGCGUAGGCGGCUUUGCAAGUCGGGUGUGAAAUCCCCAGGCUUAACCUGGGAACUGCAUUCGAGACUGCAUUGCUAGAGUAUGGGAGAGGGAAGUGGAAUUUCAGGUGUAGCGGUGAAAUGCGUAGAUAUCUGAAGGAACAUCAGUGGCGAAAAGCGACUUCCUGGACCAAUACUGACGCUCAUGUGCGAAAAGCGUGGGGGAGCAAACAGG
rnacentral:rRNA from 1 species